ensembl:snoRNA SNORD14 Small nucleolar RNA SNORD14
UCGCUGUGAUGAAGUUUAUUCCUGCCAUUCGUAGUUUCCACCAGAGGUCGAAAGACCAAAGAUGGCCUAACACCUUCCUUGGAUGUCUGAGCGA